CUGGCGGCAGGCCUAACACAUGCAAGCCGAACGGUAACAGGAAGAAGCUUGCUCUUGCUGACGAGUGGCGGACGGGUGAGUAAUGUCUGGGAAACGUAGCCUGAUGGAGGGGGAUAACUACUGGAAACGGUAGCUAAUACCGCAUAACGUCGCAAGACCAAAGAGGGGGGACCUUCGGGCCUCUUGCCAUCGGAUGUGCCCAGAUGGGAUUAGCUUGUUGGUGGGGUAACGGCUCACCAAGGCGACGAUCCCUAGCUGGUCUGAGAGGAUGACCAGCCACACUGGAACUGAGACACGGUCCAGACUCCUACGGGAGGCAGCAGUGGGGAAUAUUGCACAAUGGGCGCAAGCCUGAUGCAGCCAUGCCCGCGUGUAUGAAGAAGGCCUUCGGGUUGUAAAGUACUUUCAGCGGGGAGGAAGGGAGUAAAGUUAAUACCUUUGCUCAUUGACGUUACCCGCAGAAGAAGCACCGGCUAACUCCGUGCCAGCCGCCGC
rnacentral:rRNA from 1 species